rnacentral:rRNA from 1 species
GACGAACGCUGGCGGCGUGCUUAACACAUGCAAGUCGAACGGAAAGGCCCUGCUUUUGUGGGGUGCUCGAGUGGCGAACGGGUGAGUAACACGUGAGUAACCUGCCCUUGACUUUGGGAUAACUUCAGGAAACUGGGGCUAAUACCGGAUAGGAGCUCCUGCUGCAUGGUGGGGGUUGGAAAGUUUCGGCGGUUGGGGAUGGACUCGCGGCUUAUCAGCUUGUUGGUGGGGUAGUGGCUUACCAAGGCUUUGACGGGUAGCCGGCCUGAGAGGGUGACCGGCCACAUUGGGACUGAGAUACGGCCCAGACUGCUACGGGAGGCAGCGGUGGGGAAUAUUGCGCAAUGGGCGGAAGCCUGAUGCAGCAACGCCGCGUGCGGGAUGACGGCCUUCGGGUUGUAAACCGCUUUCGCCUGUAACGAAGCGUGAGUGACGGUAAUGGGUAAAGAAGCACCGGCUAACUACGUG